rnacentral:rRNA from 1 species
AAUCAACGCUGGCGGCGUGCCUAACACAUGCAAGUCGAACGCGGUUACUCCCGCAAGGGAGUGACUGAGUGGCGAACGGGUGAGUAACACGUGGGUGACCUACCUUCGAGUGGGGGAUAACGUCCCGAAAGGGACGCUAAUACCGCAUAACAUCCUGCCUUUGAACAGGUGGAGAUCAAAGCCGGGGACCGCAAGGCCCGGCGCUUGAUGAGGGGCCCGCGUCUGAUUAGCUAGUUGGUGGGGUAAUGGCCCACCAAGGCGACGAUCAGUAUCCGGCCUGAGAGGGCGGACGGACACACUGGGACUGAGACACGGCCCAGACUCCUACGGGAGGCAGCAGUGGGGAAUUGUUCGCAAUGGGCGCAAGCCUGACGACGCAACGCCGCGUGGAGGAUGAAGGUCUUCGGAUUGUAAACUCCUGUUGCCCGGGACGAACAGCUUCGACCUAAUACGUCGAAGUCUGACGGUACCGGGUGAGGAAGCCCCGGCUAACUCUGUGCCAGCAGCCGCGGUAAUACAGAGGGGGCAAGCGUUGUUCGGAAUUACUGGGCGUAAAGGGCGCGUAGGCGGCCUGCUAAGUCGAACGUGAAAUCCCCGGGCUCAACCCGGGAACUGCGUCCGAUACUGGCAGGCUUGAAUCCGGGAGAGGGAUGCGGAAUUCCAGGUGUAGCGGUGAAAUGCGUAGAUAUCUGGAGGAACACCGGUGGCGAAGGCGGCAUCCUGGACCGGCAUUGACGCUGAGGCGCGAAAGCCAGGGGAGCAAACGGGAUUAGAUACCCCGGUAGUCCUGGCCCUAAACGAUGAGUGCUUGGUGUGGCGGGUAUCGAUCCCUGCCGUGCCGAAGCUAACGCAUUAAGCACUCCGCCUGGGGAGUACGGUCGCAAGGCUG